rnacentral:lncRNA from 1 species
CGAGUACUUUUUAGUCAAAUGCAACAGCUUCGAGUACUUUUGUAGACUUCACCGACUAAUUUUGGUGCUCUUCGAGUACUUUAUCUGGUUAAAUCUUCAAAGGUACCCAAAAGUGCCAAGCGGCUAGAAUGUGCUUAAACUUUUUUUCACUUAGUCUUGUAUCCUUCAAACUUGAAUUUUAUAUGGAAGUGCGAUGAAAGUCGCACUCCAUAUGGAGUAGCCCCCGAGCUUUAGGUUGAAUCGAAGAAUCAAGCUAAGAGUCAAUCUGUAAUUUGCA